UUCCUGGCACUGGUUGCUUUACAUAUCAUGCACUUUGCACCCUAUCCACUUGUUAAGAAGCCGCUUACUUAAGCACUAGCUAGGUUAGUUGCUUUUAAUACAACAGCUAGCCUUGUGAUCACCAGCUUUUACUGAGGUUACCUUUUAAUAUAUCAUUCAAUCUUGUGACCAGCAGCUUUGUGC